ACACACACACACACACACACACACACACACACACACACACACACGCUUUACCUAUUCAUCCCAUCCCUCCCCUAUCCUCCCAACUAUCCACCCACUAGUCAUCAUCCAUCCCAUCUAGGAUUGUCAGUUUUAAGAAAAUCAAGACACCCAGUGAAAUUUCAAUUCAGAUAAACAACAAAUAAUACUUUAGUAUAAGUCCCAUGCAAUACUUAGGACACAUUUUUUCUGAAAUAUCAUUCACCAUUUAUUUUACAUUCAAAUUUCACUGGAUGCCUGUAUUUUAUCUGGCAAACCUAAUCCGAUCACAAAUGUCUACAUCUUUUCCAUUUAUCUCCUAAUUCCAUGACUCUUUCAACUGCUUUUCUCCUUUAACUCCUAUUAUUUCAGAUUUCAGCUAAACAAACUACAACCUAUUUUCCCAGUGUUUCCAAACCUGUCCCGAGGCAGAGAUGAUUGUAAAGAGCCCCUCAGGAGCACUUAUUUGUGGUUUCUAGGCUGAAGGCUGGCUGUGCAACUUUGGCAUUCUUGAUCUAUCACCUGUGACUGAAAGCUCCCAAACUGAUGCAA
ensembl:lncRNA novel transcript